rnacentral:rRNA from 1 species
GAUGAACGCUGGCGGCGUGCCUAAUACAUGCAAGUCGAGCGAACGCACGAGAAGCUUGCUUCUCUGAUGUUAGCGGCGGACGGGUGAGUAACACGUGGAUAACCUACCUUUAAGACUGGGAUAACUUCGGGAAACCGGAGCUAAUACCGGAUAAUAUUUUUAACCUUAUGGUUCAAAAGUGAAAGACUGUCUUGCUGUCACUUAUCGAUGGAUCCGCGCUGCAUUAGCUGGUUGGUAAGGUAACGGCUUCCCAAGGCAACAAUGCUUUGCCGACCUGAGAGGAUGAUCGACCACAGUGAAAAUGAGAUGCAGGCCAGACUCCUAAAGGAGUCAGCAGUAAGGGAGCUUCCGGAAGAGCCGAAGGCCUGUCAGAGCAACGCCGCGCGAGUGAUGAAGGUCAUCGAAUCGUAAAACUCUGUUAUUAGGGAAGAACAUAUGUGUAAGUAUCUGUACACGUCUUGACGGUACCGAAUCAGAAAGCCACGGCUAACUACGUG